rnacentral:rRNA from 1 species
AGUGAACGCUGGCGGUAGGCCUAACACAUGCAAGUCGAACGGCAGCACAGUAAGAUCUUGCUCUUACGGGUGGCGAGUGGCGGACGGGUGAGGAAUACAUCGGAAUCUACUUUUUCGUGGGGGAUAACGUAGGGAAACUUACGCUAAUACCGCAUACGACCUACGGGUGAAAGCAGUGGAUCUUCGGACCUUUCGCGAUUGAAUGAGCCGAUGUCGGAUUAGCUAGUUGGCGGGGUAAAGGCCCACCAAGGCGACGAUCCGUAGCUGGUCUGAGAGGAUGAUCAGCCACACUGGAACUAAGACACGGUCCAGACUCCUACGGGAGGCAGCAGUGGGGAAUAUUGGACAAUGGGCGCAAGCCUGAUCCAGCCAUACCGCGUGGGUGAAGAAGGCCUUCGGGUUGUAAAGCCCUGUUGUUGGGAAAGAACAGCAGCAGGUUAAUACCCCGCUGUUCUGACGGUACCCAAAGAAUAAGCACCGGCUAACUUCGUG